CCUACGGGUGGCAGCAGUGAGGAAUAUUGGUCAAUGGCCGGAAGGCUGAACCAGCCAUGCCGCGUGAAGGUCAGUGCCCUAUGGGCGUUAAACUUCUUUUGUGCGGGAGCAAUAAUGGUCACGUGUGGCCAGACGAGAGUACCGUACGAAUAAGCAUCGGCUAACUCCGUGCCAGCAGCGGCGGUAAUACGGGGGAGGCAAGCGUUAUCGGGAUUUAGUGGGUUUAAAGGGUGCGUAGGCUGGGAGGUAAGUCAGAGGUGAAAAGCCCCGGCUCAACGGGGUGAAGUGCCAUUGAUACUGGCAUGCUGGAGUGCGGAUGCGGUGGGAGGAAUGUGUGGUGUAGCGGUGAAAUGCAUAGAGAUCACACAGAACACCGAUUGCGAAGGCAUCUCACGAAUCCGCGAUUGACGCUGAUGCACGAAAGCGUGGGUAGCAAACAGGAUUAGAUACCCCUGUAGUC
rnacentral:rRNA from 1 species